UACGGAGGAUCCAAGCGUUAUCCGGAAUCAUUGGGUUUAAAGGGUCCGUAGGCGGUUUGGUAAGUCAGUGGUGAAAGCCCAUCGCUCAACGGUGGAACGGCCAUUGAUACUGCCAGACUUGAAUUAUUAGGAAGUAACUAGAAUAUGUAGUGUAGCGGUGAAAUGCUUAGAGAUUACAUGGAAUACCAAUUGCGAAGGCAGGUUACUACUAAUGAUUGACGCUGAUGGACGAAAGCGUGGGUAGC
rnacentral:rRNA from 1 species